UGAGCUCUAUCAGGGCUUUCUGAAC
rnacentral:piRNA from 1 species